UUCGAGCCCAGAGCCAUUGUUGGUUCUCC
rnacentral:piRNA from 1 species